GGGCGCCCUGCUCUCACCUGCGCCCCGGCAGGGUCUCCUCUUCCUGGGCUCCGCCAGGGCGGGGGGCUGCGGCAGGCCGGGGGUGGGAGGGAGCGGCAGCGACUGAAUGCUGCUGGGCUUAUGGAGCUGCGACAGCAGGCUGCCCCGGUGUAACGAUGCUUAGGAGGCGGCGGGCUCCCCUGGGCGCCGGGGACUCUGCCUGGUUACAGGAUGACCUGCUGAGAGACCCUGCUCCCCUCCCUGUUCCUCGGUUUCUGCAAAACGGAACCGUUUAAGGAGAAGGUGCUUCUCUGCAGCGGGCCAGGGCCUUUCAUACCAGCCUCACGUGCCUAGCACAGCCCGCUGAACAUCAGGGAGCCUUCCUGGAGAAACCAAGAGUCUACGUGAAAAGGUCUCGAAGAACCUGAGACAUGCACCAAACUUGCAUCCUUGAAGUUAAGUACUUGCUUAAGAUUUAAAAAUUCACACAAAUGUCACAGAAAUUGCAGUCCCAUGAAUAAAAGCCAAGUUCUUAAGACUAGUGCUUCAAAGGCUUGCCAGAAGACAUGUUUCCUUUUCAACAGCAAAUGCCCAAAGACUACUGACCUUUACAAAAUGUGUUUUCCUGAAUAAAUGUCAAAGAUUUUUCACAAAGCAAGAUGUCACAGAAGGCAUCUCAUUCAAUAUUCACACAGUCUGAUAGGCAUGGCCAUAGUUCUAAGAACAACUCAAAGCAGCCUACUGCAGCUGAAGCUCCAUGAGGAAGCCCUGUGACAAACAGUGCUUGCAUUGCAGGCUUGCCUUCCAGGGAAAAAACCCAAACCCUGCAGGCAGAGCCAAGCUCUGUCUUUCCCUGCAAAUGCCUGCUUUGCUCUGUGCUGCCUGAGCAGGCACCAGCUGCCCAAGAGCGUCAGAGGUCACUGCUGUGACUCUAAAAGUCACCCCUCGUUGAUGCUGGCACUUCUGGAGGUGAAAGCAGUGGUAGGGCCCCCCCCCACACCUUCCUCCUCUCUUUGUGAUGCAACAAUAACCUUUUUCAGGUCAAUAAAUAACCUUGCUGGAUCAAAGCCGUACUUUAUAAAUGAUGGCAAAACUCUUAAAUAUGAACCUUGAACACACGAGCCUACAAUACCAUAGAAAUACAUGCUAAUGGAGGGAAGGAAAUACGACUUCUUUGCCGUUUAUGCUGAAGCUGAUAAGCUCAGAUUUCAAUACUCUAUUCAAGGCACGAUUAAAAGUUCUCAUUAAACUAAUGUAAAAAGUC